rnacentral:rRNA from 1 species
UACGUAGGGGGCAAGCGUUGUCCGGAUUUAUUGGGCGUAAAGAGCUCGUAGGCGGCUUGUCGCGUCGACUGUGAAAACCCGGGGCUCAACCCCGGGCCUGCAUUCGAUACGGGCAGACUAGAGUUCGGUAGGGGAGUCUGGAAUUCCUGGUGUAGCGGUGAAAUGCGCAGAUAUCAGGAGGAACACCGGUGGCGAAGGCGGGACUCUGGGCCGAUACUGACGCUGAGGAGCGAAAGCGUGGGGAGCGAACAGG